rnacentral:rRNA from 1 species
UGGGGAAUUUUGGACAAUGGGCGCAAGCCUGAUCCAGCAAUGCCGCGUGCAGGAUGAAGGCCUUCGGGUUGUAAACUGCUUUUGUACGGAACGAAACGGCUCUGUCUAAUACAUGGGGCUAAUGACGGUACCGUAAGAAUAAGCACCGGCUAACUACGUGCCAGCAGCCGCGGUCAUACGUAGGGUGCAAGCGUUAAUCGGAAUUACUGGGCGUAAAGCGUGCGCAGGCGGUGAUGUAAGACAGGUGUGAAAUCACCGGGCUUAACCUGGGAAUUGCAUUUGUGACUGCAUCGCUGGAGUGCAGCAGAGGGGGCUGGAAUUCCGCGUGUAGCAGUGAGAUGCGUAGAUAUGCGGAGGAACACCGAUGGCGAAGCCAAUCCCCUGGGACUGCACUGACGCACAGUCACGAAAGCUUGGGGAGCAAACA